CCCACUGUAGCUCAGUUGAUAAAGCAUGGCACUUGCAAUGCCAGGGUUGUGGGUUCGUUUCCCACGGGGGGC
rfam:Salmo salar isolate Sally breed double haploid chromosome ssa14, whole genome shotgun sequence.